rnacentral:lncRNA from 1 species
UAGUAAUUAAUACUCACAAAUUUCAUCCAACACCUUCCUCUAUGGUCAUAUUAUCAUUAGUAGCAACAUACUUUUCCAGUCACCAACCAAGUCCUAACACCAGAAAGUGGAAACAAUUUCCUAGAAAAUAUUACCAGACAUUUUUACAGAAGGAACUUCUCAUUAGAAAUGACUUCCAUCAUAUCAAACGCACUUGAUUAGAAAAGGGCAGCAAGAAAAUCACAACAUAAAAGAGUAGAAAUUCGAUCAAACCAGUGAUACCAGUAAGUUACAAAAAAAGGACGUGCGAUCCUUGUGCAGGAGGCAAAUCCAGCAAGAGACUGCAAAACCCCUCUGUCAUGGAGGAUGAAAUAGGUUAUACCUUUGAUCUUGUGACUUCUCUGGAUUACAGUUAUCCAUUGCUUGAUAAACCGCACAGCACAGAGAUGACUACAUACCUACAAUCAAGUUCAACAAUAUGGUUUCUAUCCAUCCAGAGAAUAAGCAAAAGGCAAAUGAAAAGCGGUCAAGAAAAUAAAUGGACACAGGAUUCUAUACUGGUUCUAUCCUUCAUAAUAUCUCUAUGAAAAAUGGCAUAUCUAGUAGAAUAGCAGAGCAAGCACAAAUUGCAGAUGUUCGUUGUACAAAGUAUACAUGAUAAGUAAAUUUACCAUUUGUAUGAUAAAGAAACAUAGCAACUACCCACGUAGGAUCUUCUACCAAAUAAGUAACCAGAAUACAGAAAACACCUGAAUGAGUCAAUUACCAUCCAACAAGAACAAGAAACAUAGGGACUGUAUAUUUCAUCAAGAACAACUGUGCAUACCUAACCACGACAUGUUUAAUAAGCAAAACCUAAACAUGGUCUACUAAUGAGGUAGUAAAGAAAAAUCAAAAUAUUCAAACUAAGACAAAAUAGAAAAUGAGUUGUUAAUAAAGCCAAGAAAAUUGAAGAAAACCAUCUCCCUUGGAAAUGGGGUUGAGAUAGUGUGAACAACAUUGAUACCUACAUCAAUCUAGAUGACCUACAAGAUCGAGAAGAAAGGAUGUCAACUUCCACUCAUUUUCUAAGCAGCCACCAUCACAAGUGGUUACUUUACAAAAAGAGGUCCAAAUUGCACAAGUUAUCAGAACCAUUUCAAAUUCCACAUUAAUUCCACGAGUUGUGAUUCAUUGCAUCAACAUGUACAUUUUAGACUAAUGCAGAAAGACAAAUAGCAUCUAUUUUAGCUGGAUUCAGUUAUAGUAUUCAGACAUUUUUCAUAGUUAAAUUAUUUUUACAUCGGCCAUUAAUCCUCCUUUAUCUGAGCUUAGGACCGGCUACAGCCUGCAAAGCUCACAUGGUCAGAGUUUCAAACCGACAGAAGUUGCAUAAAAUAUAUUCUUCAAAUUUUAACACGAAAGGAAUAUUAAGAAGAGAAAGCACUAAAGAAGGUGCAAUACAACAUCUUACAAUCAGCCGAAUUUUACCUAUUCGCUGAACUAGCUUACAGAAAGGAAAAGUGCAGACAAACACAUUUACAUAGUCCAUAGCUAACAUAUACAUAUAAAUCACAAGGAGGAAAGGCUACACAUUCACAAUAUAAGGCUUCAAGCUCAAGCAACACUACCAAAGAAGUUACUAGCAGUAUCUUGAUACUGUGAGCCAAGUGAUGCACAAAAGGUAUUCAUCAAAAGCUCCUCAUAUCCACAUGAUUUCUGUCACACCUUUGAUGGUCAAAAAUAUAUGUAUGUAUAUUAACAAUACAAAGAAGACACAAAAUUGACUAAUUCAUCUAAGCCAAAAUAAGAUAUUCAGUUAAUGAGUCCUCCCAAAGAAUAUUGUAUCAUGUUCGUUAAAUAAGGGGAAACAUGGCAGCAGAUUAUGGUUUCUUCCCAUUUGUCCUAGUCAUGAUGGACAGAGUAACCUAGUACCUGUUGCUGGUGGGAGAUGAUGGUAUUCCAUGGAAUUAGUCGCAGUGUGCGAAAGCUGGCCCGGACACCACGUUAUCAACGACAAGAAUAACAGGGCAGCAGAUUAUUUAGGUGUAUUGGAAAACUUUAAGCCGCCUUAGAGAAAAUGUAACCACAUGAAAUGUUUGUCAUUUGUACGUAAAAUUUAAUAUAACACAACCACUUAUGGUACAAUCAAUUACUGUGUUAAGAAAGAAAAUAUAACCGUGAAGUGGUGAAGUAGGGUAUUUAUGCUUCAUAUACCAUGUUAGGCAGCAGACAAGUUCCUAACGUAUUAUUGAGCCUUUGAUCACAACUGGAAACAAAUAUCUAAUACUAACAAUAAGCAAAAUGCGAACACUUAUCAUUAAAU